CAAGCCACAGGCCCUCAGGGCAGGUAGUGUGGUCUUGGUGACACCAGCUGCUUCCUGGAUCCCACCCUCAGAGCCUGGCUCCACUUAGUAGGUGGUCUGGACGUCCUGGAAGACCCUCUCUGUGCAGCUGCCCCUGGGUAACCCUUGACCCAGAGGCAGAAGGCCGACUGGAGUCCCUGCCUGCCCAGCUGGAAGAUGAGGCAGGGGACCCAGCUGAGUGGGAACUAUGUGAUCAGGUGGAUGGAACCAGAGGUCUGCAUAGCCAUCGGGUUGGUGUAGAGUUCUUGCUCUGCCUGAAGAUGGGACUCUAAAUAUCUCUUUCUCUAGGUCCUUGAGAGAAAGGGAUUGUGGGUACACAGAGGCUUAAUGGAAGAAAGAUGUGGCUACGUUUUACAUAUUUGUACCACUCAUGGUCAAAAUGGAGGAGACCAAAUCCCUUUAAAUGUCCCCAGAGCUCCAGACCUGGCUCACUGCCUUCUGACUUCAUGACCUCCCAUGCCCACUUCCCUGGCUCUGCUCUGGCCUUGUUCACUCUUUUCCACUCCUGGAUGCCACCAGGGACCACACCCCAGGACCUCUGCAUCGCUCUCCUGCCCGGACCACUUCUCAGAACAUCUCCCGGACCCUCUGGUCACCUCCUGGUUGUCUUUGCUGGAAUGCCGCUUUCCUCCUACACUGCAGCCAGCCCUGAACCACGGAGACACCGUUGAAGCAUCUUUGCAAUGGUUCAUAACUUCUGACCAGAAUGUAGGUUCCACAAGGACAGACCUGUAUGACACUUGGAAAAUAUUCAGAACAUACCAUGAGACAUGUGCCACCAUGCCUGCUUUCUGCGCUGCUGUGGAUGAACUCUG
rnacentral:lncRNA from 1 species